GACGAACGCUGGCGGCGUGCUUAACACAUGCAAGUCGAACGGUGAAGCGCCUUCCUUUUUGGUGGGUGUGGAUGAGUGGCGAACGGGUGAGUAACACGUGAGUAACCUGCCCCCUUCUUCUGGAUAACCGCAUGAAAGUGUGGCUAAUACGGGAUAUUCUGGGUCUGUCGCAUGAUGGGUCUGGGAAAGAUAUUGUUUCGGUGGGGGAUGGGCUCGCGGCCUAUCAGCUUGUUGGUGGGGUGAUGGCCUACCAAGGCGGUGACGGGUAGCCGGCCUGAGAGGGUGGACGGUCACACUGGGACUGAGACACGGCCCAGACUCCUACGAGAGGCAGCAGUGGGGAAUAUUGCACAAGGGGCGCAAGCCUGAUGCAGCGACGCCGCGUGAGGGAUGGAGGCCUUCGGGUUGGGAACCUCUUUCGCCAGUGAAGCAGGCCUGCCUCGUUUGUGGGUGGGUUGACGGUAGCUGGAUAAGAAGCGCCGGCUAACUACGU
rnacentral:rRNA from 1 species